UACGGGGGGAGCAAGCGUUGUUCGGAUUUACUGGGCGUAAAGGGCGCGUAGGCGGCCAGCACAAGUCAGUUGUGAAAUCUCCGAGCUUAACUCGGAAAGGUCAACUGAUACUGUGCGGCUAGAGUGCGGAAGGGGCAACUGGAAUUCUUGGUGUAGCGGUGAAAUGCGUAGUUAUCAAGAGGAACACCUGCGGCGAAGGCGGGUUGCUGGGCCGACACUGACGCUGAUGCGCGAAAGCUAGGGGAGCAAACGGG
rnacentral:rRNA from 1 species